UGAACCUACGGGGCGCAGCAGUCGGGAAUAUUGCGCAAUGGAGGAAACUCUGACGCAGUGACGCCGCGUAUAGGAAGAAGGUUUUCGGAUUGUAAACUAUUGUCGUUAGGGAAGAUAAAAGACUGUACCUAAGGAGGAAGCCCCGGCUAACUCCGUGCCAGCAGCCGCGGUAAUACGGAGGGUGCGAGCGUUAAUCGGAAUUACUGGGCGUAAAGCGCUCGUAGGCGGUAUGUCAAGUCAAGGGUGAAAUCCCCGCGCUCAACGUGGGAACUGCCUUUGAAACUGGCAAACUGGAGUGUGUGAGG
rnacentral:rRNA from 1 species